GCUCCAAUGGCGCAAUGGUAGCGCGCAAGACUUCUACUAAUGACUCUAGUCUAGUCACGUAAAUCAAUCUUGAGGUUGAGGGUUCGAGCCCCUCUUGGAGUGG
rnacentral:tRNA from 1 species